rnacentral:lncRNA from 1 species
CUAAGAUGCAAGGAAUGAAGGCCCUCUCAUUGGGUGAUUAGCCUUUGCUUAUGCAAAGAGGAAUCUACAAAGGUAUAAUUUCUCAACUAACAAAUGUUGUUUUAAGUUGAGUCAAGAUUCACCAAUCUACUAGGCUUUGAAUUUAAUGGGUAAUGUUUUGUUUUGAGUGCAUGCAAGGAUGGUUCCGCCUUUAAUUUGUUAAUUGCAUGCUAUAGAUGUUGCUCAAAUGAACAUGUUUUCACAAAAUUUUCCUUCAAA